UCAGUCUGCUGGUCGCCAUGCCAGCGAGAGGAUGUGUGGGGAUGUUGUUGCGUUGCUCCUCCCUGGCCAAACAAAAGCGGAGAGCAUGUGAACAGUGCUAGCAGUGACCAGCAGUGAUGGAAGGACAAGACCAAGAGUAAAGUGAUGAAAGAGGAAGAAUAAAAAUGGCGAUAAUUUGAGAAUAGUGGCAAUAAAAAAGAAUAAAAAAACGAGAAACAGUAAAUGAAAAAUAGAAAGAGAAAAGAAAAAAAAAGUGAUUAUAACAAGAGAGAGAGAGA